rnacentral:rRNA from 1 species
GGUUGAUCCUGCCAGUAGUCAUAUGCUUGUGUUAAAGAUUAAGCCAUGCAUGUCUAAGUAUAGGUGGAUAAGAAACCGAAACUGCGGAUGGCUCAAUAAAUCAGUCAUAAUUAAUUUGGUGAUGAUUUUCUUUUAUUUGGAUAACCCUGUUAAUUGUAGAGCUAAUACAUGAAUAAGAAAACAAAAUACCUCCAUAUUUUGUUUGCCUUUGUCAAUGCUCAAAAAAAAAAGAAUUCUCUUUUUUUUGUUUUUUC